rnacentral:rRNA from 1 species
AUUGAACGCUGGCGGCAGGCUUAACACAUGCAAGUCGAGCGGAGAGAGGUAGCUUGCUACCGAUCUUAGCGGCGGACGGGUGAGUAAUGCUUAGGAAUCUGCCUAUUAGUGGGGGACAACAUUUCGAAAGGAAUGCUAAUACCGCAUACGUCCUACGGGAGAAAGCAGGGGAUCUUCGGACCUUGCGCUAAUGGAUGAGCCUAAGUCGGAUUAGCUAGUUGGUGGGGUAAAGGCCUACCAAGGCGACGAUCUGUAGCGGGUCUGAGAGGAUGAUCCGCCACACUGGGACUGAGACACGGCCCAGACUCCUACGGGAGGCAGCAGUGGGGAAUAUUGGACAAUGGGCGCAAGCCUGAUCCAGCCAUGCCGCGUGUGUGAAGAAGGCCUUAUGGUUGUAAAGCACUUUAAGCGAGGAGGAGGCUACUGAAGUUAAUACCUUCAGAUAGUGGACGUUACUCGCAGAAUAAGCACCGGCUAACUCUGUGCCAGCCGCCGCCGUAAAAC